CUACGGGUGGCUCCAGUGAGGAAUAUUGCACAAUGGGGGGAACCCUGAUGCAGCAACGCCGCGUGGAGGAUGACGCAUUUCGGUGUGUAAACUCCUUUUAUAUGUCAAGAAAAUGACGGUAGCAUAUGAAUAAGCACCGGCUAACUCCGUGCCAGCAGCCGCGGUAAUACGGAGGGUGCAAGCGUUACUCGGAAUCACUGGGCGUAAAGGACGCGUAGGCGGGUUGGAAAGUCAGGUGUGAAAUCCUACAGCUUAACUGUAGAACUGCACUUGAAACUUCUAAUCUAGAGUAUGGGAGGGGGAGAUGGAACUAGUGGUGUAGGGGUAAAAUCCGUAGAUAUCACUAGGAAUACCUAAAGCGAAGGCGAUCUCCUGGAACAUUACUGACGCUAAGGCGUGAAAGCGUGGGGAGCAAACAGGAUUAGAUACCCGUGUAGUC
rnacentral:rRNA from 1 species